rnacentral:rRNA from 1 species
AGAUUGAACGCUAGCGGGAUGCUUUACACAUGCAAGUCGAACGGCAGCGCGGACUUCGGUCUGGCGGCGAGUGGCGAACGGGUGAGUAAUAUAUCGGAACGUGCCCAGUAGCGGGGGAUAACUACGCGAAAGCGUGGCUAAUACCGCAUACGCCCUACGGGGGAAAGGGGGGGAUUCUUCGGAACCUCUCACUAUUGGAGCGGCCGAUAUCAGAUUAGCUAGUUGGUGAGGUAAAGGCUCACCAAGGCGACGAUCUGUAGCUGGUUUGAGAGGACGACCAGCCACACUGGGACUGAGACACGGCCCAGACUCCUACGGGAGGCAGCAGUGGGAAUUUGGACAAGUGGGGGAAACCCUGACUCCAGCCAUCCGCGUGUGCGAUGAAGGCUUCGGUGUAAGCGACUUUGGUCGAGGAAGAAACGGACGGUGCCGUAACGUACGGACGGUCACUACGACGGUACC